AUACUUACCUGGCAAGGGAGACACCGUGAUCAAGAAGGCGGUUCACCCAGGGCGAGGCUCAGCCAUUGCACUCCGGCUGUGCUGACCCCUGCGAA
rnacentral:snRNA from 8 species